rnacentral:lncRNA from 1 species
UUUUCAGCUCCAUGAACAAGCCUAAUGAGCUUUAAUUCAUUACAAAAUUAAGGUAAACUGGAACUGACUACUAAUUGAUCAAAGAUGUUGUUGGUUGUACAUCUUGGUUAGCAAAGUUUUGUUGGUAGAGUAACAAGUUACUAGAUGUUGGUUCAAGUGAGAGUUGUUAUUGUUGGUUAUAUAGUGUGAUAGAUGAUAUUGGUUGAAGAUGAUUGUGUUGGCUCAAAAGAAGUGGCUUAUAACAUGAGGCCAUCAAAGUAGUUGUGAUAAAGGAUUGCAAAAAAUUUCUGUUCGUACUGG